AUUGAACGCUGGCGGCAUGCUUUACACAUGCAAGUCGAACGGCAGCGCGGGCUUCGGCCUGGCGGCGAGUGGCGAACGGGUGAGUAAUACAUCGGAACGUGCCCAGUAGUGGGGGAUAGCUCGGCGAAAGCCGGAUUAAUACCGCAUACGACCUGAGGGUGAAAGCGGGGGAUCUUCGGACCUCGCGCUAUUGGAGCGGCCGAUGGCGGAUUAGCUAGUUGGUGGGGUAAAGGCCUACCAAGGCGACGAUCUGUAGCUGGUCUGAGAGGACGACCAGCCACACUGGGACUGAGACACGGUCCAGACUCCUACGGGAGGCAGCAGUGGGGAAUUUUGGACAAUGGGCGAAAGCCUGAUCCAGCAAUGCCGCGUGUGUGAUGAAGGCCUUCGGGUUGUAAAGCACUUUUGGCGGGAACGAAAAGGACUGUGCUAAUACCACGGUUCGAUGACGUUACCCGCAGAAUAAGCACCGGCUAACUACGUG
rnacentral:rRNA from 1 species